rnacentral:rRNA from 1 species
UUGAACGCUGGCGGCAGGCCUAACACAUGCAAGUCGAGCGGUAGCACAGAGAGCUUGCUCUCGGGUGACGAGCGGCGGACGGGUGAGUAAUGUCUGGGAAACUGCCUGAUGGAGGGGGAUAACUACUGGAAACGGUAGCUAAUACCGCAUAAUGUCGCAAGACCAAAGUGGGGGACCUUCGGGCCUCAUGCCAUCAGAUGUGCCCAGAUGGGAUUAGCUAGUAGGUGGGGUAACGGCUCACCUAGGCGACGAUCCCUAGCUGGUCUGAGAGGAUGACCAGCCACACUGGAACUGAGACACGGUCCAGACUCCUACGGGAGGCAGCAGUGGGGAAUAUUGCACAAUGGGCGCAAGCCUGAUGCAGCCAUGCCGCGUGUGUGAAGAAGGCCUUCGGGUUGUAAAGCACUUUCAGCGGGGAGGAAGGCGGUGAGGUUAAUAACCUCAUCGAUUGACGUUACCCGCAGAAGAAGCACCGGCUAACUCCGUGCCAGCAGCCGCGGUAAUACGGAGGGUGCAAGCGUUAAUCGGAAUUACUGGGCGUAAAGCGCACGCAGGCGGUCUGUCAAGUCGGAUGUGAAAUCCCCGGGCUCAACCUGGGAACUGCAUUCGAAACUGGCAGGCUAGAGUCUUGUAGAGGGGGGUAGAAUUCCAGGUGUAGCGGUGAAAUGCGUAGAGAUCUGGAGGAAUACCGGUGGCGAAGGCGGCCCCCUGGACAAAGACUGACGCUCAGGUGCGAAAGCGUGGGGAGCAAACAGGAUUAGAUACCCUGGUAGUCCACGCCGUAAACGAUGUCGAUUUGGAGGUUGUGCCCUUGAGGCGUGGCUUCCGGAGCUAACGCGUUAAAUCGACCGCCUGGGGAGUACGGCCGCAAGGUUAAAACUCAAAUGAAUUGACGGGGGCCCGCACAAGCGGUGGAGCAUGUGGUUUAAUUCGGUGCAACGCGAAGAACCUUACCUGGUCUUGACAUCCACAGAACUUUCCAGAGAUGGAUUGGUGCCUUCGGGAACUGUGAGACAGGUGCUGCAUGGCUGUCGUCAGCUCGUGUUGUGAAAUGUUGGGUUAAGUCCCGCAACGAGCGCAACCCUUAUCCUUUGUUGCCAGCGGUUAGGCCGGGAACUCAAAGGAGACUGCCAGUGAUAAACUGGAGGAAGGUGGGGAUGACGUCAAGUCAUCAUGGCCCUUACGACCAGGGCUACACACGUGCUACAAUGGCAUAUACAAAGAGAAGCGACCUCGCGAGAGCAAGCGGACCUCAUAAAGUAUGUCGUAGUCCGGAUUGGAGUCUGCAACUCGACUCCAUGAAGUCGGAAUCGCUAGUAAUCGUAGAUCAGAAUGCUACGGUGAAUACGUUCCCGGGCCUUGUACACACCGCCCGUCACACCAUGGGAGUGGGUUGCAAAAGAAGUAGGUAGCUUAACCUUCGGGAGGGCGCUUACCACUUUGUGAUUCAUGACUGGGGUG